AUACGGAGGGUGCAAGCGUUAAUCGGAAUUACUGGGCGUAAAGCGUACGUAGGCGGUUCGUUAAGUUAGAUGUGAAAGCCCCGGGCUUAACCUGGGAACUGCAUUUAAAACUGGCGGACUAGAGUUGAGUAGAGGGGAGUGGAAUUUCAGGUGUAGCGGUGAAAUGCGUAGAGAUCUGAAGGAACACCAGUGGCGAAGGCGACUCCCUGGACUCGAACUGACGCUGAGGCACGAAAGCGUGGGUAGCAAACGGAAUUAGAUACCCCAGUAGUCC
rnacentral:rRNA from 1 species